GUCCAGUUGGUGGCAGUAGUGCACCUUAAGAGGCCGAGUGUGGGCGAGAGAGAACGAGUGUGCGGGUAAAGUAUCAAAUAAACAUACUGAACCAUUUUAACUUGUACGGUAGCAUUAAGUUGAGGUAUCCUGCAGUUUUUAAAUAUGCCUAAAAACUUUUAUUAUCAAUUAUAAACUAUUGUAUGUAGUCAAGGGAUUGGGGGCGUAUACAACUCGCCUGCGUGUGUUGCGUCAUCAGCUUGAAUCGCAGACGCAGACUGAGGUGGAGCUGAAUCAGACAAGAGACAUGCGGCUGGAUCAAAGUUACGGCAGAGGACACACUUUGCAUGGCUUGAUGGUGUUGUGAACUGGAAGAAAUAAAACAUUCAAGGCUCCUCCGACAACAAUUAUCCUCUUUGAAAGUUUAUACCGAAGGACAAUGUUCUUUAGUUUAAAACCUUUUGUUUUGUUAUUGAGAUGAUCAAGAACUGUUCUUAUGUUCUGUGAUAUGUUUGAUCUAAUGAGAAAAUUAGAAAGAGCCAAUAAACUCUCCACUGUUUUUCAGAAAAAUCCUUCAGUUUCUGGAUAUUCUCUCCUUUUCCAGCAUCUUAUUAAGCUCCAUAUUAAAGCUUACCUGGGGAAGAGUCUGUACUUUAUCCGGUUGUUAAGUCAUGACGUAAGGAAUUUUGUUUCCGGGUUCAAGCCUCCACUCAUUCAAUAGAGGAUAUUAUUUAAACAGCCCUUUAUGAGCACUAUUUAUUCAUAUCACACAUUUAAGAUAUAUUUUAUAAACUUGCAGACACAUUCUCUAAGCUCACAACGUCACAGACAACAAUACUUUAACAAUUCAUAGACGAUUAAUUAUUUCCGGUCAUCAGGGAUUUCAGUAUGGAGAUAAAGGUUAGGAUUGCGAUUUUUCGGUAGUUUUACACUGCACUGUAAGUGUAAAUUAUUAUUGUAUGUUGUUUAUUUAAGGUAUCUGAUGGGAGCGUUUGGACCCAGAAGUUGUGCUGUCAGACUUAACAACCGGAUACAUACUAGGGACAAACUCUCCUGGAAAAGCACUUCUGAUAUUACUAAUACAACUUUUGUUUCUCAACAAAUAAUUGUAUCAUGUUUGGUAUUAUUUUCAAUUUAAAGGUACUUUAUUGGCAUGAUUGUUUGUAGUCACAAUAUUGCCAAGCAUAUACAUUAAACGCAAUAGUAACAAACACA